rnacentral:lncRNA from 1 species
GAUUGGAUGCUGAGUUGAAGCUUGUUGGGAAGUAGAUGCAAACGUGAAUAUAAUGCUUGAGGAGAAGGACCCACGUAGGUAGGAUCUUUGAGGAGAACGAGCACGUAUGGUUUGUUGGAUAAGAGCCAGAACAAGCUCACUUACUUGUUGGCUCUCACUGUUGACAACUUUCUUGAAUGCCGGCGUCAGACCCUUGUGUUCAAGACUGGUUGGAAGGCACCGCUAGUGAAGCACAUUGACUUCUCACUCACACGCCUAUUUGGAGGUGGAGAUGCUGACGAAGAAUGAGCUUACUCUUCUGGUCAUCAUUAUGCCUUUAUAGAACGUCGACAUGUUUGCUGAUAUGAUCUUCUCGUACUUGGUUUUUCUUUGUGGUGUUCAUUGAUUGCAAUAAUAAUAAUAUCCUAACCUUAUAAUUGAAAACAUCUGUUUAAUGCAUUGUAAU